UACGAAGGGGGCUAGCGUUGUUCGGAAUUACUGGGCGUAAAGCGUAUGCAGGCGGACUUUUAAGUCGGGGGUGAAAUCCCGAGGCUCAACCUCGGAACUGCCUUCGAUACUGAAAGUCUUGAGUCCGGGAGAGGUGAGUGGAACUGCGAGUGUAGAGGUGAAAUUCGUAGAUAUUCGCAAGAACACCAGUGGCGAAGGCGGCUCACUGGCCCGGUACUGACGCUGAGGUGCGAAAGCGUGGGGAGCAAACAGG
rnacentral:rRNA from 1 species